ACGCUGGCGGCGUGCCUAAUACAUGCAAGUCGAGCGGACGAUUCAAAAGCUUGCUUUUGAAUCGUUAGCGGCGGACGGGUGAGUAACACGUGGGCAACCUGCCCUGUAGACGGGGAUAACACCGAGAAAUCGGUGCUAAUACCGGAUAACACGAAAGACCGCAUGGUUUUUCGUUGAAAGGCGGCGCAAGCUGUCGCUACAGGAUGGGCCCGCGGCGCAUUAGCUAGUUGGUGAGGUAACGGCUCACCAAGGCGACGAUGCGUAGCCGACCUGAGAGGGUGAUCGGCCACACUGGGACUGAGACACGGCCCAGACUCCUACGGGAGGCAGCAGUAGGGAAUCUUCCGCAAUGGACGAAAGUCUGACGGAGCAACGCCGCGUGAGCGAAGAAGGCCUUCGGGUCGUAAAGCUCUGUUGUUAGGGAAGAACAAGUACCGCAGUCACUGGUGGUACCUUGACGGUACCUAACGAGAAAGCCACGGCUAACUACGUGCCAGCAGCCGCGGUAAUACGUAGGUGGCAAGCGUUGUCCGGAAUUAUUGGGCGUAAAGCGCGCGCAGGCGGUUCCUUAAGUCUGAUGUGAAAGCCCACGGCUCAACCGUGGAGGGUCAUUGGAAACUGGGGGACUUGAGUGCAGAAGAGGAGAGCGGAAUUCCACGUGUAGCGGUGAAAUGCGUAGAGAUGUGGAGGAA
rnacentral:rRNA from 1 species